GUGAGUGUAGCUCAAUUGGUUAGAGCACCUGACUGUGGCUCAGGUGGUUGGGGGUUCAACUCCCCUCACUCACC
rnacentral:tRNA from 1 species